CGCAAAUAUGCGACUUUGGCGGUCAGCCUAGUUGUCGCAAUUAUGCGACUUUGGCGCCGAAAGGGUUAAGAACUGGUUGAGGCUGUAAAUGCUUCUGUAGCUCAGUGUUGUUGUACUGAAAAUGAACCAUCAUUUUUCAUAAAAAAUAUUGUGCUUAUAAAUUGUAAUAAAUUCAUUAAUAAACCAUAUAUCAUUAAAAUGUAAAAUACUUUUUUGCAGAUGCCCGCCUUUGAAAAAAUCAAGUGGGCCAUACCUAAGUUAUUUGAAAGUCAAAAUAUUGCGGUAUACUGCAGCAGCCCAGAUGGCAUUUGGUGAUAGCAAUGAUUUUAUCUUGCCAAGGUUUAUUGUGACACCAAUUUCAGCAAAUCAAAAGUUGGAUGCUCUCUACCAUCAAGAGACAUCAUUUGGAAGACUGAGGACAAGACAGUUCACAUUCUCAAAACACAAAAGUCCUGGUAACAGUUGUUUGAGUGUGUGUGAAAUGCAAAGGCUCAUUGAGCAAGCAAUUGUUCAGGGGCUGCCAUUGUCUCCUCCAGGUGGCUCGCCAUUCACCACAGAAAACAAGGUUGUGUGUCUGGCAUAAUCGUUCAGGUUAUUUGCUGUAGACAGAGAAAUGGGAGGGCAGGAGACGUACUGAUGUUGUGCAUAAAUGAUGUCAUUGCCAACACCCACAACUUAUUCACAUCACCUUUUACACCAUAAACAAAUAUACAGAAAAUCUGAGCUAAAGACACCCAAGAGAGCAUCAAGGUCGUCAACCUACUGCAGACUGGAGUUACAUUUGGCUUAUGUCACAAGGCUGACUGGAAAGUGUGAACAUUUGCAGAAAAUCUGAGCUAAAGUGACCCAAGAGAGCAUCAAGGUCGUCAACCUACUGCAGACUGGAGCUACAUUUGGCUUAUGUCACAAGGCUGACUGUUUCCAUGGAACUGAUUUUGAUCAACUGACAGCAGAUCAAUUGUAUCUUAAAUCAAAGUGCUGAAAGCACUGAUGGACUAGGGCCUCAUUCAGGGGAAUGUUGACAACCAUGUUCUAAGCAUUAAAAAAAUCGGCUCAUAUAACAAGGGGUCACUGUUUAAUGGGCUAGCUUAAACUUUAGACUAAAACUGCUUGCAAGCUGCAAAGGAAAUUUUAAAAAUCUAGUUAAGUGUGUGUAGA